rnacentral:rRNA from 1 species
UGGGGAAUAUUGCACAAUGGGCGAAAGCCUGAUGCAGCAACGCCGCGUGAGUGAUGAAGGUCUUCGGAUUGUAAAGCUCUGUCUUUUGGGACGAUAAUGACGGUACCAAAGGAGGAAGCCACGGCUAACUACGUGCCAGCAGCCGCGGUAAUACGUAGGUGGCGAGCGUUGUCCGGAUUUACUGGGCGUAAAGGGUGCGUAGGCGGAUGUUUAAGUGAGAUGUGAAAUACCCGGGCUUAACUUGGGUGCUGCAUUUCAAACUGGAUAUCUAGAAUGCAGGAGAGGAGAAUGGAAUUCCUAGUGUAGCGGUGAAAUGCGUAGAGAUUAGGAAGAACACCAGUGGCGAAGGCGAUUCUCUGGACUGUAACUGACGCUGAGGCACGAAAGCGUGGGUAGCAAACAGGAUUAGAUACCCUGGUAGUCCACGCCGUAAACGAUGAGUACUAGGUGUAGGAGGUAUCGACCCCUUCUGUGCCGCAGUAAACACAUUAAGUACUCCGCCUGGGAAGUACGAUCGCAAGAUUAAAAC